rnacentral:rRNA from 1 species
GACAGAGGGUGCAAACGUUGUUCGGAAUUACUGGGCGUAAAGCGAGUGUAGGCGGUUCGAAAAGUCGGGUGUGAAAGCCCUGGGCUCAACCCAGGAAGUGCACUCGAUACUCUCGAGCUAGAGUAUCGGAGAGGUUGGUGGAAUUCUCGGUGUAGAGGUGAAAUUCGUAGAUAUCGAGAGGAACACCGGUGGCGAAGGCGGCCAACUGGACGAAUACUGACGCUGAGACUCGAAAGCGUGGGGAGCAAACAGG